rnacentral:tRNA from 1 species
GCAACGGUAGCUCAACUGGUAGAGCGCUUGUUUGAAGCACAAGAGGUUGAUAGGUCAGAACUAUCCCGUUGUACCA